rnacentral:rRNA from 1 species
GAUGAACGCUGGCGGCGUGCCUAAUACAUGCAAGUCGAGCGAACGGACGAGAAGCUUGCUUCUCUGAUGUUAGCGGCGGACGGGUGAGUAACACGUGGAUAACCUACCUAUAAGACUGGGAUAACUUCGGGAAACCGGAGCUAAUACCGGAUAAUAUUUUGAACCGCAUGGUUCAAAAGUGAAAGACGGUCUUGCUGUCACUUAUAGAUGGAUCCGCGCUGCAUUAGCUAGUUGGUAAGGUAACGGCUUACCAAGGCAACGAUGCAUAGCCGACCUGAGAGGGUGAUCGGCCACACUGGAACUGAGACACGGUCCAGACUCCUACGGGAGGCAGCAGUAGGGAAUCUUCCGCAAUGGGCGAAAGCCUGACGGAGCAACGCCGCGUGAGUGAUGAAGGUCUUCGGAUCGUAAAACUCUGUUAUUAGGGAAGAACAUAUGUGUAAGUAACUGUGCACAUCUUGACGGUACCUAAUCAGAAAGCCACGGCUAACUACGUGCCAGCAGCCGCGGUAAUACGUAGGUGGCAAGCGUUAUCCGGAAUUAUUGGGCGUAAAGCGCGCGUAGGCGGUUUUUUAAGUCUGAUGUGAAAGCCCACGGCUCAACCGUGGAGGGUCAUUGGAAACUGGAAAACUUGAGUGCAGAAGAGGAAAGUGGAAUUCCAUGUGUAGCGGUGAAAUGCGCAUAGAUAUGGAGGAACACCAGUGGCGAAGGCGACUUUCUGGUCUGUAACUGACGCUGAUGUGCGAAAGCGUGGGGAUCAAACAGGAUUAGAUACCCUGGUAGUCCACGCCGUAAACGAUGAGUGCUAAGUGUUAGGGGGUUUCCGCCCCUUAGUGCUGCAGCUAACGCAUUAAGCACUCCGCCUGGGGAGUACGACCGCAAGGUUGAAACUCAAAGGAAUUGACGGGGACCCGCACAAGCGGUGGAGCAUGUGGUUUAAUUCGAAGCAACGCGAAGAACCUUACCAAAUCUUGACAUCCUUUGACAACUCUAGAGAUAGAGCCUUCCCCUUCGGGGGACAAAGUGACAGGUGGUGCAUGGUUGUCGUCAGCUCGUGUCGUGAGAUGUUGGGUUAAGUCCCGCAACGAGCGCAACCCUUAAGCUUAGUUGCCAUCAUUAAGUUGGGCACUCUAAGUUGACUGCCGGUGACAAACCGGAGGAAGGUGGGGAUGACGUCAAAUCAUCAUGCCCCUUAUGAUUUGGGCUACACACGUGCUACAAUGGACAAUACAAAGGGCAGCGAAACCGCGAGGUCAAGCAAAUCCCAUAAAGUUGUUCUCAGUUCGGAUUGUAGUCUGCAACUCGACUACAUGAAGCUGGAAUCGCUAGUAAUCGUAGAUCAGCAUGCUACGGUGAAUACGUUCCCGGGUCU